rnacentral:tRNA from 1 species
GUCCUCGUAGCUUACCAUAAAGCAUAGCACUGAAGAUGCUAAGACGGCAGUUAUAAAUUCCCGAGGACA